CAGUUGUCCUGAGUUGUGUAGGAAAGGAAGCUGAACAGGAGCCCGAAAGCAAGCAGUCUGCUGUCUGGGCCUCCGGAGAGGCACCACCUCCUACCAUACAGAGGGGAAUUACCACUGUGGAUUCGCUAUUCUCGCCUAGAAGAUAACCAGCUGUAGAGCAGCAGGCACCGGGGCAUAUUCGAGGUCUUCCUGCAGCUGACAUUAAGGACACAGCUCAUAAGAAGAACCUUCAUCUGGUGAUGGAUGGAGAUAGAGACAGAGACCCACACUGGAG